rnacentral:rRNA from 1 species
UAGGGAAUCUUCGGCAAUGGGGGGCAACCCUGACCGAGCAACGCCGCGUGAGUGAAGAAGGUCUUCGGAUCGUAAAACUCUGUUGUUAGAGAAGAACACGAGUGAGAGUAACUGUUCAUUCGAUGACGGUAUCUAACCAGCAAGUCACGGCUAACUACGCGCCAG